rnacentral:lncRNA from 1 species
ACUCCCAGCUAUAGCAAGCGGCAGUUAUGGAGCAUGCGCAGCAGCAGGGGCGGCCGCAGUCAAGGGAUUUGUACAGCCCUGUAGGAGACACCUCCAGAGAAAGUAACAGCUCUCAAUUGAUUAGCUGAGAAGCCUCAGGGGCUGGAUCCUGACAUGAACCAGACACCUCCAGAAUUCUAUCCCAAGCAAAAGAUUAUUUCAAGGCCAGAACUCACUCCCUGCUGGAGACUGACUACAAGAUCCACUGAGAUUGAUGUGUAACCUGAUUGGGCCCACAGUGAUGCUAGCCCCUUCACCAGAUGGAACAAUAAUUCCAGACAAGCCAUCAGAGCAGGUCACACCACUUGACACCUUCUCGCCCCCUUGCCUCUCCUGCAUUCCAAACCCCUCUCUUUAAAAUCCCCAUGUUCCCUCCGUAAACUGGGCAGUGCCAAUUGUUGGAAAGAAUUCUGGCACUCUUUUCCUUCUUAGCAUGGAUAAAAAGAUUCACCCUCUUUUUAUCACACCUCACUCUUGUUAUUUUGGCUUCUUUCUACAAGUGGUGAGCAACCGGGCCCCCUUUGCUGGUUAUAGUAUGAACUAUUUUAUUUUUUUUAAUCUACAAUAAAAUAAAAUACAUUCAUUAGAUUUCAAAGUGGUGUUUAAUGGUUUAAGAAAAACUAGUUUUACAUUUGCAACUUGAAUAUAUUAGAUAUUAUUAAAAGCACCACAAUUGUUAAGUACUGCAGUACCUUUUCAUCUUUGAAAGCCCUUUAGAACAUUUGAAAACUCCACUGGCAUAGUUGAUACCUUUCUGGCUGUCUUUUCCCAC